UCAGGAGCUGACAUGUACCCCCUCCCGUUCACUAGUUAGCUUAGUCUGUUUUUCAGUUUUAAUUGUAAAACAGAGAGAGUUUCAAUUUUAUUUGGCUCAUAACUUUUGAUCUAGAGAUCCAAUGAGGUUGAUUCGUUUUCCAAUAGAUCACAAUUGUUCUGUAGUUUUCGAAAACAUAUUAUUUGCCUAUGUUUAAAAUUUCAAAAUUUGAAUUGGAACAGAUUUAGUUUAAAUCUUGUUUUGCCUAUUCCAGGAG
rnacentral:lncRNA from 1 species